rnacentral:miRNA from 1 species
GAGUGAAGAUGAGAUUGAGAGGGAAAAUGAGAGGGAAGGGAGGGAGGAAGGAAUAACAAAAGUGAAAAUAAAAAUUAAAAACUGAAAUUUAUUUAAAAUUGUUUUCACUUUUGUUACUCUUCCCUUUCAUCAGCUCAUCCUCUCACUCUCAUUUUUCUCUAUAUUCU